GGAUGUGAGGGUGAUCUGGCUGCGACAUUUGUCACCCCAUUGAUCACCAGGGUUGAUUGGGCUGAUCUGGCUGGCUAGGCAUAUGUCCCCUUCCUCCCUCACUGCUCCAUGUCCCUCCUGAAGAUGCGCAUCCCUCCCAAAGAUGCGAGACUUCCUCGAAAUAGAGAUGGACCAGUCUUCGGUUGAGGGUAUACAAGUAGCUGUGCUCCCCUUCUAGACCCUCCAAACAAGCUCUCAAGAACCACUAGAUGGGAGACUUGUAAGCAUGAGGCCCCAAGUGUAGUCCUGGCAUCAU
ensembl:misc_RNA 7SK 7SK RNA